rfam:Oryza nivara chromosome 2, whole genome shotgun sequence.
AAAAAGGCAAACCCUGGGUUUCCAAGUCCAACUUUAACUGUCCGUCUUAUAUGAAAUUUUUUUUAUAAUUCGUAUUUUUAUUGUUGUUAGAUGAUAAAACAUGAUUAAUACUUUGUGCGUGACUUGUCUUUUUAAUUUUUUUCUUAAUUUUUUCAAAUAAUACGGACGGUCAAACGUUGGGCACGGAAACCAGGGUUUGUCUUUUU